UGUGAAGCAGACAGACUUGCUGUCAUGAGUCGUUUACGACGGGCUUGUCCCUUCACAGAAGAUGGCUUACAUCAUCACUUCCUGGCCACCUGGUUCCUCAGUGGGCUUUGGGGCGCUGAGAUUGUGAGGCGGGCUGUACAACACUGCACUGACAGUAGGCUCGGGGGUGGGCGUGGGACGGAGUGGCACAGAGAGGACGUGGGUAAAACGUGUAACCUGGCACGGUGCCUGGCAUGGUCACUGCCCAAGAAAAGCGAGCUGCUGUCAAGAUUUUGGGAGGAAGAAUUAUGUUUAAGAACCCAGGCACUCAAACUCUCUCUGGGUCCCAGAUUCCUCAUCUGUGAAGGGAUGAGGAAUGGUAUCUCCCUCACUGAGCUCUUGCAAGGAAAAAAUGCAAAAUCGUGCAGGGCGCUGGGCAGGCAGGGUCUGACAGCCCUCCGUAAAUGUUCACUUGUGCUACAGGGCGGUAUGCACCUGGGCGUUCAGUACCAGUUCACAGGGUGUGUGCUGCACGCCAGCCUCAGUGCUGAGGACAGAGCGGUGAGCAACAAAUACAUGAACACACUUCAUAUGGUGUAAGUGCUAUGGAGAAAAUUAAAGCAGGGUAAGUGGGUGGAAUAUGCUCAAGGCCACGUUGCGGGGGGUUGCAAUUUUACAUAAUGAGGCCUCCCUGACAAGGUGACAUAUGACUAGAAGAGAGAAGGAAGUGAGCCACAGUGGCAUCAGAAAAAGUGCUCCAGCAAGAGGGCACGGGUAGUGCAAAGGCCCUGAGGUUGGAUGCCUGUCUAGCAUACUCGGGAAGCAGCAGAGGUCUGUGUCCCCAGAGCAGAGGGAGCGACAGGGAGCCAGAUCACACAGGGUCUCACAAGCUAAUGCAGGGACUCUGGCUUUCACCUAGAGUGGGCAGAGGGUUCUGAGCAGAGCAGCAAUGGGACCAGAUCCCCCAGACUGCCUUACUGAGGACAGACCAGAGGGAAGUCAGGGUGGAGGCAACAGGGACCAGCGAGGAGGUGACUGCAGAGUCCAGGAGCAGCUGGGGAGCCUGUGGGAGGGGAGAAGAGGGAAUCUGCCCACCGGAGGUGGCGCUGCCAGAGGGGAUGUGGGUGUGAGAGGAGGAGCACAGCCAGGCUGAGGCCAAGGCUUCUGACCUCAACAAAUGGAGCAGCGGACCUGCCCUUUAUCAAGACAGGAAGAUUCUGUGGGGCAGGAGGGGAAAAGCCAGGAGUUUGCUCUUGGGCAUGUUGUUUGAGAGCCGUAGAAACACCCGCGAGAAGAUGCCGAGUGAGCAGUCAGCUCCCAGUCUCGAGUUUGGGCACAAAUGGGUUUCAGAGUCAGGAAAACCUGGAUUCAGACCCCAGUCUGCCACCUGCUGUCUGCAUGACCUUCUGUGAGUGUCUAUACCUCUUGGAGCCUCAAUCUCAUCCUGUCAAGUGGGGAUGGGGAAAUUGAGUCACAUGGCAGUUAAGAACUUGGCUUUAGGUCACAGAGCUGGCCGGUGGCAAUGCCAGGACUUGAAGCCAGGCCUUCUGACUCUAGAACCUGUGUCUGUGUUGUGCUUCCUUCCCUAUUUCACAUGCAUGACUUGCCAUUUUGUGAAACCCACUGGCGGCGCAUCACCCACUACAGCAUUCCUUCUCAUGGAACUCACACGUGGUCUGAGUACUUCUCAGCACGUUUCAGGCCACCAUCGAUUAAACCAUCACCCAACUUGAAACCAGUCUGCUACUUUUGGUUUGGCCAAUAGUCUGAGCCUGGGCUGUCUACCAGGAGUUUAUGGUAAGAACUUAUCCAGACUGUGAAUCUCUGUCUUUUAAAAGAGGAAGUUAAACCACUCACAUUUAUUGUGAUUAUUAAUGUGGAAUUAUUCUUCCUAUAUAACUGUUUUCUUACUAUGCUUUCUUAUAUUCCCCCUACUGUUUAUGCCCUAUCCUUUAAAGGCCUGGAAGUUCUUCAUUCUAUUUUAAUCUCCCAGGAAGUACCCUUACAUUUCAAACAUAAGCAUAAACUUGUAUUUUCUAGCAACAUCUAGAGUGAAUAAAUCUAUUGUCUUCCAAAGGCGAUGGCUCGGAGAGCUUUGGAUCCCUGGCCCAAACUGUUCCCAGAAAGAACCCAGGGGCAUGGCCCAUGAGACCCCCUUGUGUGUAAGUGGCAAUUCUGACUCUCUUGGGACCAAUUAGUGUCCUGGCCUGACUGACAGCUGGGGGUAGGGGGUGUUCCUUAAGGCCUCCACCAAACCCCAAAAGUGCUGCAUUGCUAAGCGCUCUCCCUUACCUUCAGUCUCUGGACGAUUUCCCUUAUGUCCUCCACAGAGCCCUCUGUGGCCUGCAGGAAGAUGUGGUCCCCUCGUCCAUAGAAGAUUUUGAGCGUUGAGGAAUCUGGGGUCCAGCCAAUGACAUCCCCACAGUAGCAGUUGAAUACCACCUCCUUGGUACGCAGGUCCAGGAGCACCACAAACUCGUUGGAAAUCCCCAGGAUGCAGUCGAUUUCUACCCCCUGGGCAUAGUCCUGAGCCGCCACCCUCCAGGCGAUGGCCCCUGCGCUGUGCUGCUCAGCGCCUGCCCUUGCUUUUGUCUUCUCCUUUUUCUUGGAGGUCAAGGAGAUGAGGUUAAAUUUGCCAGUGGAGUCAAUGGGUGUGUUGGAGACACAGUUUUCAGCCAGGUCCUUGAGGUACUCCUGACGGGUCCUGGUGGCCAUGGUGUGGAAUUUGUCGGACUUGUGCGCAGCGUUCUCGGCAUUAAUCACCUUGGCCAGCAAGAAGUCUCUGAAGACGUCAGAUUUGCGGAAUGUGGUUCCACUGGGGAUGGGGGGACCGAAAGGAGGAGCAUCUUUGGAUCGGGUCACAGCCAUACUGAGGAGGGAGAAAUAGAUGGUAGAAAGAAGAGCACUUGAGAUUCCCUUUAGAAAGAAAAUACGUGAUCAGAAACAGGACUUUGCUUUUUAAGAGAGGAAAUCUACUUCUAACUAGUAAAUUGCUGGCUAACUGGACUGGAAACGAGACAGUCUAAGGGCAGAUACAUGUAUCUUUAUUUCCUAGACAACAGAUAUUAGGAUAUCCGCUGAUGUUUCAAGAAUAAUUCUCCUAGCAUUGUUCCAUUUCAGUUACCCUUGUUUUACACACAUACAAACUAUGUGGUAGAUUACAGUUCCGCAAAAAUUCACUCCUCCCUCUCCAACUUUGAGGGUGGGUAUAUCCCUACCCUACUGAUCCUGGUCACGUGACCCGAUUUAGCCAAUAGCUUUUAAGCAAGGCAUGGAAUGCGGUGGGCUUGCCUCCUGUGCUCCUGCCAUCUCCCUGAGAUGAACAUGCCACGGGGGUCCCAGAAGGAUGAGGGACACCUGGAGCAGACCUAGAGCCAAGGCCAGCCAGACCUCAGGUGACCUGCAGAUGUGUGGGCCAGAGAGAAAUAUUAGCCGUCUGUGAGCCACUGAGUUUUGGGGUGGUUUGUUAAGCAGCAUUAGUAUGGGAACACCUGACUGAUACAGUUAUUUAUGUGAUUUACUUUUCUCACACAUCUGUGUAACAUUACUUAAUAUACUGUGUAAAUCAUCCCUACACAGAUAAUUUUGAAAAUCCAUUGUAACGAGAAGUUAGUAGAGACCCUUCUAACUCCCGCUUUGACCAAGGUGCUCUUAUGACAGAAAUGAUUAGAAACCGAGUGAGAAGGUAAAAAGGAAAUGAUCUAAAACGUGUUCUGCCAAACUAGUGGACCCCCUCACCCCUAUGCAAACCACACGGAGAGAGAAGCCUAUGGGGAAGAACAUCUCUGGAGAGAGCUGGCGGUGAGCUCCAUCAUGUCUGUGCCCACCACCGCCGGGACUGGGCACCGCCCAGGUGAUCCUGUAGCCGGGAGGAACCUGGGGUCAGUGGGUCCCCUGCCUGGGAGAUCAGGAGCGAGGGCUGGGAGGUCCUUUGCAGAGCCCAGAGAGCUGCGGUCAGCUGUGUUCAUGGUCUCAGUGACAUUUCCCUGCCUCCCCCUGCUUCCCGGUGCUUCAACCCCGGACAGGUCAGACACCAGCAGUUAGCAGCAGCCAAGGUGCAACAUGGAGGGACAGAGGAGGUGAGCAGGCUCCCCGACCACUGAGGCUUCCAAGCAGAAGCAGCCCUGAGCUGGGAGGUGGGAGAUCUGCUGAGAACUCAAAUCUGGAGGAUCGAUGAGCAUCUCAGAGGGGUCGUUCCAAUGACCAAAUCGAGUCGAGACUCAGCAGCUGUAGGGCAGCUGAUUUCUGAAGUUGGAGAGAGGCUAUGGCACCUCCCAGAGUCACCACCCAGAAGCAGGGGAACUUGACUCUCACCGGAAGAUGUUUAAAGGGGUGCCUGAGAGCUGCUGGUCCCUGGAUGCCUCACUGGUUCCUUAACCCCGGCAUACCUGAGAGGAGCCUGUUCCUUCAUUCUCAGUUAAAACCCAAGGGGGGCAUCUGCUUCUUGAGCGUCCAUCAUGGACACAAGUGUAGCAAUGAGUGACAAUCAGACUGAUGGCCUACAAACAUCACUGCUGCCCCAGGAAGAAAGGAAUGGAAGGGACCAGAGUGCAGGCAGGAGAUCGUCAAAGGAGCUCCUGCACAACCCGGGGAGUCAGGCCAGAUCCCUCACUUGCCAUGUCCACUGUUCACUAUCCAGCGACCCUUUUCCAGUUCUGGAAUGCCAUCCAGGCAGAUGCCACUCGGAGCUUAGCUGAUGCCCCAGCACCAGCACAGGUGUUCACUACUGAUUAAAAUAAUGACUUAAAGUUGAAUGGAUCAAGAAAAAACACAUUUCUACCAAUGUACAGUAGGUUUUCUGUAGGUUUGACAGAAGAAGGCAUUUCCCAGUGGUGUGGUUCUUUGAGGCCACACAAACCAGCCAAGUUUUCUGUGCAAAACUGAGUGGGUAUGGCCUUGCCUGGGGGUGGGGGGUGGGGGGGAUGGAUGAGAUGACUUUCUAAUUCACAGUGCGUCCACACUGUACUUUACAGAUGUGAACAGCUUUGCAACUUCUCCAGUCAGCACUUAGCUGCUUCACGUGACAGAUUCUGGUUUUUCCCACGUCGUCCCGAUUCAUGAUUUUAAGAAUCAUGAAAUCACAAGCUGCUGAAGGUUUUUGGACAAGCAGAACAGCUGGUCCCUUACUUCCCAGCAGGCGGGACUGGGUUGUCAUGGCCCACAGGCUGCAGGGACACUGGUGUGCCACUCAGAAAUGGCACUCCUGAAACCGGGAAGGACAGCACCUCAUUACACAACCAGGAGAUGGUGUGACGUCAGGUCACCUGGUCACUGUAGCUCAGACAGUAUGUCCAGAAUAAUCACGGUGAUUCAUUCAACAACUAUUUUCCUCACUGCCCGUGAUGUUUGGGCCAGGCAUCCGUCUGGCCAGCAAAAAUGUCUUCAGGGUCCACUAUACAGCAAGGCCCAGGCCACGACAGACGCACAAAGGGGAACAUGGGGUUGCUUUCAAGGAAGGCCCGGGCCAUGCCAAGAAGUCGUUUUACAGCAUGACAAGUGCUCUGAUGAAGGCAGCCAGGGGGAGCUGUGGACCUGGGCUGGAUCAUCUCUCCCGGCUCAGAGGACCUGGCCUGCUGGGCUGUCUCUCCCUGCUCAGAGCCUGGUGAUGGCUCCACCUCACUCAGGGUGAUGAUGUACUAAUGGUGUUUCACUGAUUUGCUGACAUUACUGCAUUCACACAAGGUGAGCCUCUGUGACUGUCACUGGCAAGGAUCCAUGCUGGGAAUGUCAAGUCCGCAGAUGGGAAUCCCACGUAGCUCGACACCAAGCGGCCCAGAACAUGGAAUCCAGACACACUUACACUUAGCACGACUCACACUACUGAACUACUUUGUGUGUGUGUUAAACUCAUUAAAUUGCUAAAGUACC